GGGGAAUAUUGGACAAUGGGCGCAAGCCUGAUCCAGCCAUGCCGCGUGUGUGAAGAAGGCCUUCGGGUUGUAAAGCACUUUUGUCCGGGAAGAAAACCCUGGGGCUAAUACCCACGGGGAAUGACGGUACCGGAAGAAUAAGCACCGGCUAACUUCGUGCCAGCAGCCGCGGUAAUACGAAGGGUGCAAGCGUUACUCGGAAUUACUGGGCGUAAAGCGUGCGUAGGCGGUUUGUUAAGUCAGAUGUGAAAGCCCCGGGCUCAACCUGGGAACUGCAUUUGAUACUGGCGAGCUAGAGUACGGUAGAGGGUGGUGGAAUUCCCGGUGUAGCGGUGAAAUGCGUAGAGAUCGGGAGGAACAUCUGUGGCGAAGGCGGCCACCUGGACCAGUACUGACGCUGAGGCACGAAAGCGUGGGGAGCAAAC
rnacentral:rRNA from 1 species